GAUGAACGCUGGCGGCGUGCCUAAUACAUGCAAGUCGAGCGAAUGGAUUAAGAGCUUGCUCUUAUGAAGUUAGCGGCGGACGGGUGAGUAACACGUGGGUAACCUGCCCAUAAGACUGGGAUAACUCCGGGAAACCGGGGCUAAUACCGGAUAACAUUUUGAACUGCAUGGUUCAAAAUUGAAAGGCGGCUUCGGCUGUCACUUAUGGAUGGACCCGCGUCGCAUUAGCUAGUUGGUGAGGUAACGGCUCACCAAGGCAACGAUGCGUAGACGACCUGAGAGGGUGAUAGGCCACACUGGGACUGAGACACGGCCCAGACCCCUACGGGAGGCAGCAGUAGGGAAUCUUCCGCAAUGGGCGAAAGUCUGACGGAGCAACGCCGCGUGAGUGAUGAAGGCUUUCGGGUCGUAAAACUCUGUUGUUAGGGAAGAACAAGUGCUAGUUGAAUAAGCUGGCACCUUGACGGUACCUAACCAGAAAGCCACGGCUAACUACGUGCCAGCCGCCGCCGUAA
rnacentral:rRNA from 1 species